GUACGGGGGGGGCAAGCGUUGUUCGGAAUUACUGGGCGUAAAGGGCUCGUAGGCGGCCAACUAAGUCGGAUGUGAAAUCCCCAGGCUUAACCUGGGAACUGCAUCCGAUACUGGAUGGCUUGAAUCCGGGAGAGGGACGUGGAAUUCCAGGUGUAGCGGUGAAAUGCGCAGAUAUCGGGAGGAACACCGGUGGCGAAGGCGGUUCUCUGGGCCUGACCUGGACGCCUGAGGAGCGAAAGCGUGGGGAGCGAACGGG
rnacentral:rRNA from 1 species